AUGUUUGUGUAGGUUCUUGUGGAUUUUUCCAGGUGUUUAACUUCGUCACCCCAUGUUGUACUCCUGUUGAUGGUGACUCCCAGGUAUUUGUGCUUGGUGACGCGCCUUAUUUCGGUUCCAGCCACUUUUCCAAUGUUGCGCUGAGACUUGGCCCCGGUGUGACGUCUCACCUGCGUCAACAUGGCGCUGUGAACGGUGUUCAUUCGGAAGCGCCGUCAUGCACGAGGAGUCAACCAAAGCCUGCCUAAUGGAGAAGGUUGCUCCAACAGCGGCGAAUGCAAGUCGAGCUGCUGUCUGCGUGCAUCAGGAGUCUCUACAUGUCAG